GCUACUAUCCCUAAACACGACACAGUAUACAGUGCAUUCCAGUACACUAAUAAAAUAUUUGAUAUCAUUAAUCAGAUAAAUACAAAAUGAAAAAUGUUUUCAAAUCGAUGAUGUUAUACAACCACGAACAUAUUAUUAUACGACAUGUCGCGUACCUUCGAAAAUACAGCGAUAGCGAUAUUUGUCAUCGAAACAACAAAACGUGUUCAAAAACUCAACGUAAUUUUAAUCGGUGGUGUUCAUAAAUGUAGAUCAUUAGCAGUGGCUGACAACGGAGCAGCAUAUAAAUC